CCUACGGGGGGCAGCAGUGGGGGAUAUUGCACAAUGGGGGAAACCCUGAUGCAGCGACGCCGCGUGGGUGAAGAAGCGCCUCGGCGCGUAAAGCCCUGUCAGCAGGGAAGAAAAUGACGGUACUUGAAGAAGAAGCCCCGGCUAACUACGUGCCAGCAGCCGCGGUAAUACGUAGGGGGCAAGCGUUAUCCGGAUUUACUGGGUGUAAAGGGGGCGCAGACGGCGAUGCAAGCCAGGAGUGAAAGCCCGGGGCCCAACCCCGGGACUGCUCUUGGAACUACGUGGCUAGAGUGCAGGAGGGGCAG
rnacentral:rRNA from 1 species